GGAGUAACCUCCCACCAUAGCCUAGACAGAGUAGUAUCGUCGGCAGUGUUGAUCAGCCGCUCGGAGAUUUCACCACGGACCUGACUCCCCACGUACGCACCCGUAAGACCCAGUGAAUCAGGGGGGAGCCCGCGCCGCCGGAAUGCCGGCUGAAGGUGGCAAUAAUUUUGCAGGUAAAUUUUCGUAGGGUACGAAAAAUAUUCUCCGAAUUCCAAUUGUUUGUCCCAUCAGAAUAAGCCCUGCAACCCAGAGGGCCUUCAUCCGCGGUAAUACAUGGGGGGCUAGCGUUUUCGUCCUUCACCAAUAUAAAGGGUGCUCCCUCGGACUGGAGUGUCAGAGGUGAAACUCGUGCCCGUAACUUUGGUCGUGCUCUCACACCAGCAAGUGAUGAGUACGGGAGUGGGGUAAUACCCCGCCAACUACGCAAUCAGGCGCACGCCCAUCCGUUACAACAGCAGUUAUGAUGUCAAUUUCAUGCCACUUUAAUAUGUUAAAAGCUAUUAAUCCUCGGGUAGCAAACAGGUUCACCUACCUUGGUAGUCCACACCAUGAGUUCCGCACCCUAGUUGUUGUUCUCAUCAGGGAUCAGUGACCUAGUUACCCCUUUAAGUUCUCCACCUGGGCCUGCCGCUCGCAAGGUCAAAAUCCAUGGAAUAGAUGG
rnacentral:rRNA from 1 species